UGAAUGCAUAUAUAACAUUUGAUAUAUAUCAAAUGAAUCUAUUGAGAUGAUCAUAUGAUUCCUCUCCUUUUACCUACUAAUAUAAUAAAUUAUAAUAAUUUACUUCUGGUGUGAAACUAAUCAUUUUCAUCCUGGCAUAAAAACAACCUAGGCAUUACUUAAGUUUCUUUUUAUGUAUUGCUAGACUGAUUUGUUAAUAUUCAUUUGGAAUUUUUGCAUCUAGACUUAUGAGGGAAAUUAACCUAUGAUUUUUCUUUCUUGUAUUUCCUUAUUAGUUAUUUGGUACAAGGGUUAUGCCAAUCUCAUGAAAAGUGUUCCCGUUUUUCCUAUUGCCAGGAAGUAGUUCUGUAAAAUUUUGAUUAUUUUUUCUUGAAUACUUAGUAAAGCUCUCCUGAGAGAUAAUCCAGGCUUUGUAGGCAAACAUUUUACUAUGAAGAAAAUCUUUUUUUUUUUUUAAUGGGAGAAUUCUGGACACGGGAAAAAAUACAGAGGCAAGAAAAAGCGUGAAUAUAUGAGAAGUGGCAGACUAAGCGGACAUGGAAGCCAUUCCCCCUACAAAACAGAAAUGCUGCAUAAAAUAUAAAGUUUCCUUUUUAAUAUAAGAGCCAGACUUAAGUGAUAAAAAUAAUGAGAAAUCUUCUAGUCACCUAAAAUAAAAAAGGAACUCAAAUCAGAAUUAAACUUCUGUUGUCACCAUGGCAACAAAAGAGCAUAUCAGAUCCUGAUAGAGGGUUUGGCUGCUAAAAUUUUAAUGCCAUAUAGGUACAAUUUUCUUGGUUAUCAGCUCUUUUGGAUCAGAGAACUACAACAGAGUACUCUGCUUAAAUCUCAGCCCCAUCAGUAGAACAGGGACCAGUUUCCCAGCUAGAAAGCAGUGGUCAAGUGUUCAAGGGACCAGUGUGGCAAAGAACACAUGCUUUGUGUCGUGGGAUAAAUGGAGCAGUCCUUGCCCAAGGAGGUUAAUGUCAAGUCAGAGAGAAAGGUAGGUAAGCAAAAUUAUAAAGACCACUGAGGAUGGAUAUUGUUGGUUUGACCAGAGACAAACCACAAGCAAAACCAAGUUCUGAUUUACCAACACUCAAUUAGAAGGUGCUCCUCAACUUAACAGCAACAACAAAAAAUAAAAACAAAAACAAAAAAACCUACCA
rnacentral:lncRNA from 1 species